ACCUUAUUACCUACCAUGUUGUGGGAUGAAGUAAAAAUGUUACUUAAAGAUAUGAAAUCAGGAAGAGUGAUUAAGGCCUUACCCAAUCCAUACAGAGAAAACUUUGGCUAAAGGCAACAUAAUAUGACAAGCACUCAAAGAUCUAUUUUCUAGAUUUAUAAAAUAUGAGGCGAUUCCAGAAAAUAUGGCAGAUAGCAUUUUCUUCCCUAAGAAGGUUACUGAGGAUAAAUCAACAGUUACUAUUCCAUUUUCCUACUAGCUAAUCUCUACAAAUGUUUAUUGGAUUGUCUAUGCAUAAAUAUGCCCUUGAUAAAAAUCAUAAGAAAGGAAGAAGUGACUUUUUGUAAAUUAUGUACUGUGACAAAUUAUAGUCAUACAAUGGACUGAGAGGUAUAAAGAAUACAAGAUCCCACUCUGUCUAUUAUUUAUCCCUUAUAAAAUACCCAAUUCAUUUCCAUGGUAGAGCAAAAUACAGCCAUAAAAGUUUUCUUCCUGAAGACUGUCUUCCCUGAUCCCAAAUGAAGAUCACAAAAGAUUCCCUGAUAGACAUAAUUAAAGAGAUGACUUUGUUCAAUGAUCCUUUGAGUAUUAACAUUGAGUGAAGUAUGAAACAAGGUAGGUAAGGCAUGGUUUAACAUUGUCAAGGAAGACAUCCUGGACAAAAUCUAAGUAAGAGAAGGAUUCCUUAUAGAUAGUGAGAUUACUCAGAUGUUCCUGUUUUUUUGGAUGAUAUUGGUUUUGGCUACAUGAAGCCUCAGAACACAGACAAAUCCCUUAAUGAAGUCCAUGGAUAUGCCACCCUACACAGGAAAACAAACAAAUGUUUGGAGAAUGCAUAUUUCCUGAUUCAAUUCAGUUAAAAAACAUUUAUCACAUACUUAUUACAUGUGGUUAUAUGAGGUACUGAAGAUAUUCCUGUUUAUCCUUCAUUGUAAAAAAAGAAUUAAUGAACUCAUGGUGCUGAUUUUGACUUAUGAAUGAAUUAUAUUUAAGUGAGGUGGAGUUGUAUAAAGUUAACAGCUUCACUCUUUCUUCCAGAGUCAUCCAAGUCCAGAGACCUGAGAUGCAGUGGAAGAGCUUGAUGUCUCCAAAAAAUGACCAGGCUCUAAGCACUACACAGGUUUCAACCACCUUCAUGGCCAUUUGGAAUGAAUUGUUCUCAUCUUCCCAUUCUAUUGGAAGAAGUCUUCACAUACUUGUGGUAGUCAUUUCUUGGUACAAGUCUUACCUCUGA
rnacentral:lncRNA from 1 species